GGUAGCGUUAUUAUUUGUGACACAACGUUGUUAUUGAAACGAAAGUAACGCUAUGAACUAAAUAUAUUGUCAAAUACUUUAAAUUGUCACGUUGUUUCGAGAUUCCUGAAUUUUGAACACCAAUUGUAAAUAAUUAUUAUCAUCUGUAUAGCUGUGGACAUUUUUUGUUUUGUUUUUAGAGCAAAGUAAUGAAUAAUAAGGGUACGACGCCUACCAAUGUGUUUGUACCUCAUACCUCGAGUGCUACUCGGAAAAGAUUUUCACCAUCGUUUCAAUUUGAUGUUUAAGCUUCAGAAAUAACAGCUGUAAAAUUUUUUUAGAAGAAACUUACCCAUACUUCUUUUAUAAAAAAAAUUCAAUUAUGUAAGAAGAAGUGAAAUAUUUUGGUUUUUGAAAUACACUGGGAAAAUCAAAAGGAUGUUUAAAAUAUGUUAACAUUUACGCAGUGAGGCAAGCAUCUAGAGUGCGAAAAACACGUAAAAGUAUAACUUAUAGUGAUUGCAUUCAUCGUGAGAUAGCUAACUCACGAUUGUCGCUUGUUGUAAUUAAGAAACCCAUUUUAAACUAGUAAAGAAACCAGUUUAUCAACUAUAUUUGUUAUCUCAAACUUACGGUUGUUAAAGAUCUGUUAAUUUUCUUUUACAUAGUGUUGAGGAAUGGUCAUCGAUUUCUCUUAUUCGUACGUUCUUCUGUAGGCCUAGUUCAGUAGUUCUUUUUUGCUCCAUGCCCCACCACCACACCUCAAAAAAUUUGAUGCACCCUUAAUAUAAAACAAAUUUGGUGUCGAAAAGAUAUAAUAAUAUAAUGUAAAAUUUUUCUUAUUGUAGCAUUUUCAAAUUGACCCACGUUCAGAAUCACUGGCCUAGUGUAUCACCGAAUCAGUAUCAUUAUUAAUAUCAACUAAAGUCUAAAGCUGCCAGCCAUUGUGAUUGUGUAUCACUAUCAGUUUAAUAUAUCCUUACAGUGUUAUAGUUAAACUCAAGAGCGAGAGAAACACUUCAACUUCAAGAAUAAUCAUGGAAGCAGAAAAUAUCGAAGAAGAACUAAAACAAACAUGUGUUGGUUGGAUUCGUCAUUUACUUUCAAGCAAGGAAGAGUGGGAUGCUUAUGUUUUAGAAAAAGUGAAAAAAAGAGAAAAUAAAACUAAAAAGACAGAAGGUGGUGAUUCACAGGAUUCCAAGAAGAAUGCUGAUGAAAGACGGUCCUCGGGAGAUGAGCCUAAAAAUUAAUAAAACAGCAAGAAAAAGCAUUUUCAUGCAAUUAUAGGAGGACAUGAACAAUCAUAACUGAAUUGUUCAACUUGCUUUAUGUAAUUUGUGUUGUUUGGCUGAUUAUGUGAAUGUGCUGAAUCACAUUUUUAAGAUUUCUCCAAACUACCGAGUUGGUAUAAAGAUACGUUAAUAUAUGAUUUUUAAUUAUUUUAGUUCUUUAUGAUAUUGUUAGACUAGUCAAAAUGUUAUGCAUUCUGUAAAAGUGUAAGUCAUCACAAGGACAGGAGUAAGAAGAUUGGUUACAUGGAAUUUGAUAUAUUAAUUGUCAUUUCUUUAUUGUUCAAAAAUGAAUCAAUACAUGUAUUAUUCUUCUUUUUGAUGUACUUUAAAGAAAUGUCUCCUUAGACAAAAGUAGUUCUUCUAACCAUAAAAGAAAAAGUAAAGCCUAUUCAGUGCUGUUUGAGAUUUUGUUACAUUGUUUUCAUAGCACUAUACAAUUUAUACCUCACUUUACAGUAUUAUGCAUAUACCUACUUAUCCCUUGUAUACACUAUUACACUUAUAUACCCCUUAUGUAUGCACUAUCAUGUACGAAUACCUGUAGCUAAAAAUUUUAAAACUUUAGUUCACUGUAUCACAGAUAGUUACAUAUUUACUGUUUAUUAAUGAACCUUCGUGUAUAACUAAUACAUUAACACUAUCAGAUAUUCAUAACUUUGUAUUUGCACACCUUCUGUUUAUUGGUCAACUCUUACUAUUGCAUAAUAUCAACAGUAUUAUUCAUCUAUAUCCCUAAGUAUUGAUAUUUGUAUAUGUUAUAGUCUUGUUUUUCUGUUUGCUCACAUUGUCACUUUCACAUGUGUAAAUUAUAUUAUAUUAGUGUGCUUUAGUAUGAAAAGAUGUUGAACAUACAUUAUCACAUCUGUACAUUUUUGCCUGUACACUGACUAACCUUUUUUUUUAUUAAUACCCCUCCCCCUACACUUACGUAUAACCACUUAAUUUAUCAGCACAUGCAGAAGUGACAGAUCUUUUGGUGUUUCAAGAGAUUUGGUGGGGUUUAAACAUGCAAAUAUAAUCAAAUCAUAGUUAGCAUCCAAGACAAUAGCUAAAAACAAGGAUCUUUCAAACUUUCAAAGGGGCAUGAUAGGGGCACUUGUCUAGCCAAAAAAGCAUCAUCAUGAAAAAUCAUUACUUUCGGUGUUCAAGGACACGUGUGAUCAGAUACUAUUGACAGCAGUAAUUAAAAAAUAACAAUAAUCUUUCUUGAAUAAAAACUGGGGCUAUCAACUUCUGCUCACUGAUUAAGUUGAAAGACAAGGAUCAGUUGUAAAGUAUAACAAAUUUCAUACUGUCUCCCAAUUGAAUGGAUUCUCUCAAGUGGUUUUGAUUUGACUAUUUCAAUAAUAUUAUAAAAAUCUUUUAUGACAUCCAGUCCAAACAUUACUUACAUUGGUGUAGACAGAAAAGCAUGGAUUUACUGAUGCUAAAAAUACAGAUUGUGGAUACAGACUGGAAGUAUCUACCAUGGUAUUUCAUCCUUUUCUGUACUCAUGGUAAGAGUAAACGUGUGAAGAAAACAAAUGAAACACUUCACCCUACUUGUGUUUAUUUUCACAUUGUCAGCUACUGACUCAAGGUGUAUAAUAAAGUGAGGAAAAUUCUCAGGGCAGAUACUGAAUGAUUUGACUCCUUUAGAAAAGCAAUUAACAUCCAGAAUGUACCUUAAUGUUUUUGCUGUUUGUAUGCAACUUGCAAUAUGAUGGAAAGAGUUCUCUUAAAAUGAUAAUUCAUAUUGGCGGUAUUGUUAGAACAUAAUUAUGAAUUCAAUCACUCUUCUGGACCAGCACCAUCGUUGGAUUUCAAUCCAAUUGAAAAUCUUCGGGACAGACUGAAAUGUUACACGUGUCAUCCUAAUCCUCUUCAAUACCAGUGAACCAAUUACAUAUUAUAUAGUUGAUAAAAGGCACCUUCUACUAUUCCGAAGUUAGUCUAUUAUUUUGCUGUAGGUGGUCCAUGUUGAUAAAGGUGUAGGUUUUAAUGGGUUAGCCCAUCAGUGUAUCAUCUCUAACGUUUUACUGUUUAUUUGUCAACUUAUAAUUGUAACAGCAAUAUGUUCACGCUAUGAAACACACAUUCUUCUCAUCACAGAAUAUUUUCUUAGUCUACCUUUACUACUGCUUUGUUUCUACUUUUUCACAUGUGAUGUUGUUUGUAUCUUACACUUGUAUUCUCAGUUUUAGUAAUUGUUUGGAAUAAGGAAUAAUAUAAUAUUGUUGUAACAACUGUUAACAUAAUUUGUCUUAAUAAUCAAUGUCAUUAAAAAAUGUUAUGUCUUUCA